AUUGAACGCUGGCGGCAUGCUUUACACAUGCAAGUCGAGCGGCAGCGCGGGGGGCAACCCUGGCGGCGAGCGGCGAACGGGUGAGUAAUGCAUCGGAACGUAUCCUGUAGUGGGGAAUAACUCACCGAAAGGUGAGCUAAUACCGCAUAAGCUCUGAGGAGGAAAGCGGGGGGACCGAAAGGCCUCGCGCUGCAGGAGCGGCCGAUGUCCGAUUAGCUAGUUGGUGAGGUAAAGGCUCACCAAGGCGACGAUCGGUAGCUGGUCUGAGAGGAUGAUCAGCCACACUGGGACUGAGACACGGCCCAGACUCCUACGGGAGGCAGCAGUGGGGAAUUUUGGACAAUGGGGGAAACCCUGAUCCAGCCAUGCCGCGUGAGUGAAGAAGGCCUUCGGGUUGUAAGCUCUUUCGGUACGGACGAAAUUAGCUUGGACUAAUACUCUGAGUAGAUGACGGUACCGUAAGAAGAAG
rnacentral:rRNA from 1 species